UAGGGAAUCUUCCGCAAUGGGCGAAAGCUUGACGGAGCAACGCCGCGUGAGUGAGGAAGGUCUUCGGAUCGUAAAACUCUGUUAUUAGGGAAGAACAAAUGUGUAAGUAACUAUGCACGUCUUGACGGUACCUAAUCAGAAAGCCACGGCUAACUACGUGCCAGCAGCCGCGGUAAUACGUAGGUGGCAAGCGUUAUCCGGAAUUAUUGGGCGUAAAGCGCGCGUAGGCGGUUUUUUAAGUCUGAUGUGAAAGCCCACGGCUCAACCGUGGAGGGUCAUUGGAAACUGGAGAACUUGAGUGCAGAAGAGGAAAGUGGAAUUCCAUGUGUGGCGGUGAAAUGCGCAGAGAUAUGGAGGAACACCAGUGGCGAAGGCGACUUUCUGGUCUGUAACUGACGCUGAUGUGCGAAAGCGUGGGGAUCAAACAGG
rnacentral:rRNA from 1 species